rnacentral:rRNA from 1 species
UACGUAGGGUGCGAGCGUUAAUCUGAAUUACUGGGCGUAAAGCGUGCGCAGGCGGUUUGUUGUGUCGGCGGUGAAAGCCCCGGGCUCAACCUGGGAAUGGCCGUUGAAACUGGCGAACUGGAGUGUGGCAGAGGGGGGUGGAAUUCCGCGUGUAGCAGUGAAAUGCGUAGAGAUGCGGAGGAACACCGAUGGCGAAGGCAGCCCCCUGGGCUGACACUGACGCUCAGGCACGAAAGCGUGGGGAGCAAACAGG